CUUACAGGAAAGCGUGAAUAGAAGAAAGAAGAAACGCCUUCUUGAGUUUCUAUUCCGAAAGCAAAAAGAAAAUUCUGAUUUCCAGGAACGGCGAUUCUGCAUUUGUCCGAGUUGCGGUUUGGUUUUUCCGGCCGGUGAUGAGAUAGCGAAUUCCGGCCGGCGAAGAUGUUGGAGGAUCAGGUGGCGAACCUCUUGCAGAGGUACCUGGGGAACUACGUGAAGGGGCUCAACAAAGAGGCCCUCAAGAUCAGUGUCUGGCAAGGUGAUGUGGAGCUAACAAAUAUGCAGUUGAAGCCCGAGGCACUGAAUGCGUUAAAAUUGCCUGUGAAGGUCAAGGCAGGAUUUCUUGGAUCCGUGAAACUUAAGGUUCCAUGGAGCAGGCUAGGCCAGGAUCCGGUGUUAGUUUCUUUGGAUCGCAUAUUUCUAUUAGCUGAGCCUGAAACGCAAGUUGAGGGAAGUAGUGAGGAUGCUGUACAGGAAACUAAGAAAAACCGAGUGCAGGAAAUGGAACAGAAGUUGUUGGAGAAGGCACAACAAAUGAAGUCAGACGUGAAUAAAUCAUGGUUGGGAUCCCUGAUCAGCACAAUAAUUGGAAACUUGAAACUUUCGAUUUCAAAUAUUCACAUCCGAUACGAGGAUCUUGAGAGCAAUUUUGGUCAUCCGUUUGCAGCGGGCGUAACGUUGGAGAGACUUUCAGCCAUGACAGUUGAUGAUACUGGAAAAGAGACGUUUGUUACUGGGGGUGCACUAGACCGUAUUCUGAAGUCUGUCGAACUUGAUCGGCUUGCACUUUAUCUGGAUUCUGAUAUUGCUCCAUGGCAUGUUGACAAACAAUGGGAGGACUUGCUUCCAUCAGAGUGGGUUCAGGUUUUCAGAUUUGGUACUAAAGAAGGUAAACCAGCUAAUAAGUUGACCAGGAAGCAUACUUAUGUAUUGGAACCUGUUUCUGGAAAUGCUAAGUAUUCAAAGCUACGGCAAAAUGAAUUUGCUGAUAUUGGUCAGCCUUUACAUAAAGCAGCAGUUAAUCUGGAUGAUGUGACUAUCUGUUUGCCAAAGGACGGAUACAGGGAUGUACUGAAGUUAGCUGAUAACUUUGCUGCCUUCAAUCAGCGGUUGAAGUAUGCUCAUUAUCGUCCACAUGUCUCUGUAAAAUCAGAUCCCAGGUCUUGGUGGAAGUAUGCUUAUAAAGUUGUUUCUGACCAAAUGAAGAAGGCAAGUGGGAAAUUGUCGUGGGAGCAAGUUCUGAAGUAUGCAAGAUUACGUAAAAGAUAUAUCUCUCUAUAUGCCUCACUACUUAGAUCUGACCCUAAUCGGGCAGUUGUUGAGGAUAACAAAGAUAUUGAAGAACUAGAUCGUGAACUUGAUAUUGAACUUAUACUCCAGUGGAGGAUGUUGGCUCACAAGUUUGUAGAGCAGUCAUUAGAGUCAGAACAAGACUUGAGAAAACAAAAAGCAAAGAAAUCUUCGUGGUUUGGAUGGCGCAGUCAGUCUUUGAAAGAUGAGAAUGAGCCAUUUCGUUUCACUGAUGAAGAAUGGAAGCAGUUAAAUGAAAUCAUUGGGUAUAAGGAAAGUGAUGAUAGACUGUUGGUCACAGUUGAUGAAAAGAGGGAUGCUCUCCAGACUUCCUUGAGCAUUUCUAUGAAACGUAAUGCCACCAAACUUACUGAUGAGUCUCAGAAGUGUCUUGCUGAAUUAUCGUGUGAAGGCAUCGAUUGCUCAAUAAAGCUCUAUCCAGAAACAAAAAUUUUUGACCUAAACUUAGGAUCAUAUAAGUUAUCAACGCCAAACGGUCUCCUUGCCAAGAGUGCAAGCGCUUAUGAUUCUUUAGUUGGCGUCUUCUGUUUCAAGCCUUUGACACCAAGGUGGACUGGAGCUUUGUUGCCAAGGCUUCUCCCUGUUAUGUCACUUAUCUAAAGGAUGCAAUUGAUCAAAUCAUUAAGUUCUUUCGGAGUAAUACAGUUAGCCAGAAGAUAGCUAUGGAUACUGCAGCUGCAGUGCAGAUGACCAUCGAUGGAGUCAAGCGUACAGCUCAGCAACAAGUGAACCGGGCAUUAAAGGACCAUUCCAGGUUUUUGUUGGACUUGGAUAUUGCGGCUCCUAAGAUUACCAUUCCUACUGACUUUUGUCCUGAUAAUGUGCAUCCUACAAAACUGAUGCUGGACUUGGGAAAUUUGGUUAUUCGCACCAAGGAUGACCCUGAUCAUGGAUCAUUGGAGGAGCUAGAUAUGUAUCUGCAGUUUAAUUUGGUUCUAAGUGAUGUUUCUGCUUUUUUGGUUGAUGGCGACUACUUUUGGGGCCAUUCUCCUUCAAAAAAUUCUGCUGGUUCUUCCAACUCAAAUGGUGUCAGUUUGUUGCCUUUUAUUGACAAGUGUGGGGUAAUUCUAACAUUUCAACAGAUUAGAUUAGAGACUCCAUCCUAUCCUGCAACACGACUAGCUGUACGGGUCCCAUCAUUGGGGUUUCACUUCUCCCCAGCUCGGUAUCAUCGAUUGAUGCAAGUAGUUAAGAUCUUUGAGGAGGAGGAUAGUGAGAAGUCAGAUCUCUUUGGCCCUUGGAAUCAAGCUGACUUUGAGGGGUGGUCGUCUCUACUUGUUUUCAAGGGUCUGGGAAAUAGGGAAGCAGUGUGGCAGCGACGCUACCUAUGCCUAGUUGGUCCUUUCCUUUAUGUACUGGAGAGCCCUAGCUCUAAAUCGUACAAGCAAUGUAUCAGCUUGCAAGGGAAACACAUAUAUCAGGUUCCCCCAGAGUGUGUUGGCAAUGCCGAUCUUGUUUUGGCCAUCUGUGAUUCUACACGAGCAAAUAACAAGGAUGCAAAUGCACUAAUCUUGCGAUUUGAUUCUGAUGAUUCAAAGAAAACUUGGCAUAGCCGGCUGCGGGGAGCUGUCUAUCAUGCAUCGGGUUUUGCUCCUGUAACUGGUCUAUCUGAUACUUCAUCAGAAUCUGAGGAUUCAGUAAUGGAGCUCAAUGGAAAUCAUGAUAUGGGUGAUUUACCGAAGAUGGAGAAGAUAUUUAUUACUGGUGUUCUUGAUGAACUAAAGGUCUGCUUCAGUUAUAGUUAUCAGCGUGACCAAAAUAUCAUGAAGGUGCUCCUAACUGAAGAAAGGCGCUUAUUUGAAUUUCGAGCCAUAGGUGGUCAGGUGGAGCUAUCAGUUAGAUCAAGUGACAUCUUUAUUGGAACUGUUUUAAAAUCUUUGGAGAUUGAAGACUUGGUUUCUGGGCAUAUCUUUUCCCAGCCGCGUUAUCUGGCAAGAUCAUUCAUCCAUAGUGCUGCAACACUUACAACUUCUGAUGCCCCAGUAAAUCAGAGUUUUGAUGGCUCUGGUUCAAUCCCUUCGGAAGGCGAUGAUAAAUUCUACGAGGCAACGGAUAAUUUGGUCGACUCUGAGAAUAUAUUAUUGAAACCCCCUAGUUUUACUCGUAUUUCUGGUCUACUCCCUAGUGAUGGAGUUCAAACAACAAAGGACAUUGCACGGGAUGAUUCGAUGGAUAGCUUUGUGAAAGCUCAAGUCGUUAUAUAUGACCAGAACUCUCCUCUGUAUCAUAAUACAGAUAUGCAGGUCACAGUCACCCUGGCUACCCUAUCAUUUUUCUGUCGUCGACCAACAAUUCUUGCGAUACUGGAAUUUGUAAAUUCAAUUACCAUCAAGGAUGAAAGCUGUGAAUCUUUCAGCGACAGCUCUUCAACAGCUGUUACGAAUCGUGAUAGCAGAGAUGAUGAGGUUGAUGGUUCUCAAUCAAUGGCAAUCAACGAGCCUUCUGUUAAAGGAUUGCUGGGAAAGGGGAAGACCAGAGUCGUUUUUAAUAUAACAUUGAAUAUGGCCCGUGCUCAGAUUUUAUUAAUGAAUGAGGAUGAAACUAAGCUUGCUGUUUUGUCACAAGAUAAUUUGCUAACGGAUAUUAAGGUAUAUCCAUCCUCUUUUAGUAUUAAGGCAUCCCUCGGAAAUCUUAAAGCAAGUGAUGAGAGUCUUCCAAGCAGCCACAUGUAUUUCUGGGCGUGUGAUAUGAGAAACCCUGGAGGCAGCUCAUUUGUUGAGUUGGUUUUCACUUCAUUUAGUGCUGAUGAUGAAGACUAUGAAGGUUAUGAGUAUAGCCUGUAUGGGAAGCUUUCAGAAGUACGCAUCGUAUAUCUGAAUCGUUUUAUCCAGGAGGUUGUAAGUUAUUUUAUGGGUCUUGUUCCCAAAAACUCAAAAGGAGUCGUGAAGCUAAAAGAUCAAGUAACAAAUUCAGAGAAGUGGUUUACAACUAGUGAUUUUGAAGGAUCACCUGCUAUGAAGUUAGAUUUGUCUCUUAGGAAGCCUAUUAUAUUGAUGCCUCGGAGAACGGACAGUCUUGACUAUUUGAAGCUUGACAUCGUUCAAAUUACUGUUAAAAGCACCUCUCAAUGGUUUGGUGGAAGCAGAAGUGACAUUAAUGCUGUUCAUAUGGAAGUAUUAACAGUUCAGGUUGAGGAUAUCAAUUUGAAUGUUGGUUGUAAAGGAGAAAUAGGUGAAAGCAUAAUUCAAGAUGUGAAGGGAGUAUCUGUUGUGAUUCAAAGGUCACUACGAGACUUGUUGCAUCAAAUACCUAAUGUUGAGGUUUUAAUCAAGAUGGAGAAAUUGAAGGCAGCUUUGUCAAACAGUGAAUACCAGAUUAUUACCGAUUGUGCACAGUCCAACAUUUCCGAAACUCCACGUAUUGUGCCUCCAUUGGACCUUGACCCUGUGUCAUCUUCAAGUGAAGGUGAAUCCAUCACUCAGGAUCCAAAUGGUACUGCUUUUCCAGCUGCAAGUGGGGAAGCUCGGGUGAUGAUGAAAGUUUGCGUUGUCAUUGAUUUGGUUGAAUUGUGCUUACAUACUGGUCUAGGGAGUGAUGCAUCUCUUGCCACUGUGCAGAUUACCGGUGCAUGGCUACUCUACAAGACAAAUACACUGGGGGACGGUUUCCUGUCAGCAACACUCAAGGGUUUCAGUGUGCUUGAUGAUCGUGAGGGUACUAAAGAAGAGUUUAGGUUGGCGAUAGGAAAGCCUAAGAGUUUUGGUUCUUGUCCCGUAGAUUCUGUUACUUAUGAUGACACUCAGCACAUCACUGAUGGAAAUAUCGGAAAUUUUAAUGAUAUGAAUUUAGUUCCUACAAUGCUCAUUGUUGAUGCCAAAUUCGGCCAGGCUUUAACAUCGGUCUCGUUAUGUAUCCAAAGGCCACAACUUCUUGUUGCACUUGAUUUUCUGCUGGCUGUUGCUGAGUUUUUUAUUCCUAAAGUCAGCGAUGCGCUGUCAACUGAAGAAGUAAAGAACUCUGUUUAUGGAAUCAAUGCAAUAGUUUUCCAUGAGUCUACUCACAAGCAACCCUCCACUGAAUUCUCUGUCACUCCAUUAAGACCAUUGGUAGUUGAUGAUGAAAGAUAUGAUCAUUUCGUUUAUGAUGGUAAUGGUGGAAUAUUGCAUUUGAAAGAUAGGCAGGGGUUCUAUGUCUCUGGGCCUAGUACAGAGCCUAUUAUAUACAUAGGAGAUGGGAAAAGAUUGCAAUUCAAAAAUGUUGUUAUCAAGAAUGGACUGUACUUAGAUUCAUGUAUAUCCAUGGGAAGCAACAGUAGCUAUUCAGCUUUGAAGGAAGAUCAAGUCUACAUUGCGGGAGAGGAUGAAGUUCCUAAUUUGACUUCCUCUAGAGAAAGUCUCAAGAAUUUGCCAUCUGAAAGCGUUGCAGUCAACAAAUCAUCGGAGAUUGUCAUUGAGUUGCAGGUGGUUGGCCCAGAACUGACAUUUUAUAAUACCUCCGAAAAAAUUGGGGAAUCACUGAUGCUCUCUAAUCAACUUUUACAUGCUCAAUUGGAUGGAUUCUGCAGGCUUGUUUUGAAAGGCGAUACUAUUGAGAUGAAUGCAAAUGUGCUUGGUUUCACUAUGGAGAGUAACGGAAUAAGGAUAUUGGAACCAUUUGAUACUUCUGUAAAAUAUUCUAAUGCUUCUGGAAGGACCAAUAUACAUCUAUCUGUUUCGGAUAUAUUUAUGAAUUUUUCAUUCAGUAUCCUAAGGCUGUUUUUAGCAGUUGAGGAGGAUAUUUUGGAUUUUUUGAGCACGACAUCAAAGAAAAUAACAGUGGUCUGCUCGCAGUUUGACAAGAUUGGAACAAUAAAAGAUCCCUCCAGUGACCAAAUAUAUGCCUUUUGGAGACCUCAUGCACCUCCUGGUUUUGCAGUUCUUGGGGAUUAUCUGACACCAUUGGACAAGCCACCUACAAAGACAGUUCUUGUUGUAAAUACCAGUUUUUCCAGAGUCAAGAAGCCCCUAUCUUUCAAACUAAUUUGGCCACCUUUACCUUCUUCUGAGUCGUCUUUUCAUGGUGUAAAUGAUUCGGAUAGAAUACCAAAUAAUGUCAUUUAUGAUGAAAGUAGCUGCUCCAUUUGGUUUCCUGAAGCUCCUGCCGGAUAUGUUGCAUUGGGCUGUGUGGUUUCACCCAGAAGAGCACAGCCACCAUUAUCUUCUGCCUUUUGUAUCUCGGCUUCAUUAGUUUCUCCUUGUUCCCUAAGGGACUGCAUUGCAAUUAACACCAAAGAUCCAUAUCAGUCGAGUUUAGCAUUCUGGCGAGUGGAUAAUUCUGUUGGGACCUUUUUGCCAGCAGAUAUUAAUACUUCUAGCAUUACUGGUAGAGCAUAUGAUUUGCGUCACAUCAUAUUUGGAUUUCCCGAAGCCUCUUUAAAAUCAUCCAAUAGUUUGAAUGCCCAAAGUUCUGCUCAAAGUCACAAUCCGCCGUCAGAAAGAUCAGAAACAGUAAACUCUGGUCGCCGAUGUGAAAUUGUUGCUAGUUUUCGUUUGAUAUGGUGGAACCAAGGCUCAAAUUCAACAAAAAGGCUAUCUAUAUGGCGUCCGGUUGUACCUCCGGGAAUGAUAUACUUCGGUGAUAUUGCAGUGAAAGGGUAUGAGCCUCCUAAUACCUGCAUUGUUCUUCAUGAUACUGAAGAUGAAGAGCUUUUCAAAGCCCCUCUCGAUUACCAAAUUGUUGGGCAAAUUAAGAAACAGAGGGGAAUGGAGAGUGUGUCCUUUUGGCUUCCUCAAGCUCCUCCAGGGUUUGUUGCCCUUGGUUGUAUUGCAUGUAAGGGGACACCGAAGCAAUCUGAUUUCAGCUCAUUACGAUGCAUUCGCAGUGAUUUGGUAACUGGGGAUGAAUUUUCAGAGGAGAGUGUAUGGGAUACAUCUGAUGCCAAGCUUACAAAAGACUCAUUCAGUAUAUGGGCAGUUGGCAAUGAGUUGAGUACCUUUCUAGUUCGUGGUGGUUUGAAGAAACCUCCAAGAAGGUUUGCUUUAAGGCUGGCUGAUUCAAAUGCACCUGCUGGCUCAGAUGAUACUGUAAUUGAUGCGGAAAUUAGAACCUUUUCUGCAGCACUUUUUGAUGACUAUGGUGGCCUGAUGGUUCCAUUGUGUAAUUUAUCUCUAAGUGGAAUUGGGUUCAGUUUGCAUGGAAGGACAGAUUACUUGAAUUCGACUGUAAGCUUCUCUUUGGCUGCUAGAUCAUAUAAUGAUAAGUAUGAAGUUUGGGAACCUCUUGUUGAGCCAGUAGAUGGUUUCCUAAGAUACCAAUAUGAUCUCAAUGCACCAAGUGCAGCAUCUCAGUUACGCCUUACAUCGACUAGGGAUCUGAACUUGAACAUUUCUGUGUCUAAUGCUAAUAUGAUAAUUCAAGCUUAUGCAAGCUGGAACAGUCUUGUUAAUGUGCCUGAAUAUCAUGAGAAGGGGGAAGCAUUCUCCACAACAGACGGUGAACGAUCUGUUCUUGACAUCCAUCACAGGAGGAACUAUGAUAUAAUCCCACAAAACAAGCUAGGACAGGAUAUCUUUAUUCGAGCUACUGAGUUCAGAGGACUUACAAACAUAAUUAAGAUGUCAUCUGGAGAUGUGAGGCCUGUAAAAGUCCCUGUUUCCAAGAAUAUGUUGGACUCUCAUUUGAAAGGAAAACUUUUCCUCAAAGUUAGAACAAUGGUGACUUUCAUCAUAGUGGAUGGGCAGUUCCCACAGGUUAAUGGGUUGACAUCUCCCCAUUAUACCUUAGCAAUCCGUCUCAUUCCUGACCAGACUGUCCUUAGUGAAACACUGAUUCACCAACAAAGUGCACGCACUUGUGGAAGCAGCUCCAAACACCUAUCUCCAGAGCUUGAAUUGGUCAAAUGGAAUGAAAUAUUUUUCUUUAAAGUCGACUCUCCAGACUACUACUCUGUUGAAUUAAUUGUGACGGACAUGGGGAAUGGGCUCCCUCUUGGAUUCUUUUCAGCCCCUCUAAAGCAGAUUGUGGGGAAUUUUAAUGACGAUUCAUAUCCAUAUGAUAAUGUCAAGAAGUGGACAACCAUUGAAUUGUCCUCGCCAGAGUCUAUGGAUAAUAACCAUAAGAAGUUGGGUGGGAAAAUCAGAUGUGCUGUAUUGCUGUCACCAAAAUCUGAAGGAGAGAUAAGUGAUCAAUAUGAUAACAGUAAAACAAAAUCUGGAUUUAUCCAGAUCAGUCCUAGAAGGGAAGGACCAUGGACUACUGUGCGGCUAAACUAUGCUGCCCCCGCUGCUUGUUGGCGGUUAGGAAAUGAUGUUGUUGCUAGUGAAGUACGUGUAAGGGAUGGCAAUAGAUAUGUGAAUAUUAGGUCUCUUGUUUCAGUACGUAACAGUACUGAUUUUGUGCUGGAUUUGUGUCUUGUACCGAAAGUUUCUAUGGAGAAGGAAAUACAUGUUGGAACUUUGAAACCUGGAGAUACCAUACCCCUUCCUCUAUAUGGGUUAACCCAACCUGGAUUGUAUGUCUUACGUUUAAAGCCUUCUAAUCUUAGCCAUCAUGAUGAGUAUUCUUGGAGUUCAGUGGUUGAUGGGUCUGAAGAACCAGAAGAGUCUGCUUCGUCAAAAGUAUGUCCCGAGAUAAGUGUAUCGGCUCUCACUGAGUCGGAGAAACUGUUGUAUUGCUCGCAGAUAAGUAGUACUUCUUCUAGUGUUUCCCACAAAUUGUGGUUUUGUAUGAGUAUACAGGCGACAGAAAUUGCCAAAGACAUUCAUUCUGAUUCUAUCCAGGAUUGGAAUCUUGUGGUCAAGUCCCCCCUAUCUAUCUCCAAUUUUCUUCCCCUUGCAGCUGAAUAUUCUGUUCUUGAGAUGCAAGAAAAUGGUGGUUUCGUUGCCUGCUCCAGAGGAGUGUUUUCUCCAGGAAAAACUGUGAAUGUUUUUACUGCCGACAUAAGAAAACCUUUAUACUUUUCACUGCUUCCACAAAGAGGAUGGUUGCCCAUACAUGAAGCUGUCCUUUUGUCCCAUCCUCAAGAAGUUUCAGCAAAAACCAUUAACUUAAGAAGUUCGAUAUCUGGAAGGAUUGUUCAAAUUAUUCUUGAGCAGAAUCCUAUUGAAGAGCGUCCACUGCAUGCUAAGAUCAUUAGACUCUAUGCUCCAUAUUGGUUUUCAAUUGCUAGGUGUCCUCCUCUCACAUUCAGGCUUGUAGAUAUAGAAGGGAAGAAAGAAACACGAAAGAUGGGUGGUUUAUUCCAGUCUAAAAAGAAUAGUGAAGUCGUCCUAGAGGAGAUAACUGAAGAGGAAAUAUAUGAGGGUCAUACAAUUGCUUCAGCUUUGAAAUUUAAAAUGCUGGGACUUUCUGUGUCGAUUGAUCAAUCUGGCAACAAGCAGUUUGGACCUGUUCAAGAUCUUUCUCCCCUUGGUGAUAUGGAUGGAUCAUUGGAUACCCUUGCUUAUGACGGCGAAGGUAAUUGCAUGCAGCUUUUUAUUACCACGAAACCAUGCCUGUUUCAAUCUGUUCCUACAAAGGUAAUAUUUGUCCGACCAUUUAUGACAUUUACCAACAGGCUUGGUCGUGAUGUAUAUAUUAAGUUAUGCGGUGAGGAUGAACCAAAAGUCCUUCGUCCAUGUGAUUCAAGAAUACCAUUUGUAUACCGUGUAUCAGAUGGACCUAAUAAACUUCAGGUUCGAUUAGAAGACACCAACUGGUCAUUUCCUGUUCAAAUUGUAAAAGAGGACACAAUUUCUCUUGUUUUAAGGAAGCAUGAUGGUACUCGGACAUUUUUGAGAACGGAAAUUCGGGGAUAUGAAGAAGGCUCACGUUUCAUCGUUGUUUUCCGCCUCGGAUCAUCUAAUGGUCCUAUCAGAAUUGAAAACAGAACUGUCACCAAAACAAUUAGCAUUCGCCAGUCUGGGUUUGAUGAAGACGCAUGGGUUCCUCUAGAACCUUUUUCAACAACAAAUUUUGCUUGGGAGGACCCAUACGGCCAAAGAUUCAUAGAAGCUAAGGUGGACAAUGGCCUCUCCACUGGAGUUUGGGAACUUGAUCUGGAAACAACAGACAUAUUUUCUUCUGAGGAACUAGGGUUGCAGUUUCAUGUUGUAGAAAUUGGUGAUAUCAGGAUAGGAAGGUUCAGUGACACCAGAACUAUAGAUGCAAGUUUGCACGAACAAAAUAGGUCUCUGCAACUUGCUGGAAGUUGGGGAUAUUCUAACCUGCAGAAUACGAAUCAGAAUAAUGGUGCCUCACCUCUUGAGAUUAUAAUUGAGUUUGGAGUUGUGGGCCUUUCAAUUAUAGACCAUAGACCAAAGGAGGUCUCCUACUUCUAUUUUGAGAGGGUCUUCGUAUCGUAUUCGACGGGCUAUGAUGGUGGGAUGACAAGCAGGUUUAAGCUCAUACUGGGCCACGUGCAGUUGGACAACCAGCUUCCUCUAACAGUGAUGCCAGUUCUGUUGGCUCCUGAGCCGGAUUCUGAUAUGCAUCUUCCAGUUUUCAAGAUGACUAUAACAAUGCGUAAUGAAAAUACUGAUGGCAUCCAGGUCUAUCCUUAUAUUUAUAUCCGGGUAACUGAGAAGAGUUGGAGGCUUAAUAUUCAUGAACCUAUAAUUUGGGCUUUGGUGGAUCUGUACAAUAACUUACAGUUAGAUCGUGUUCCUAAAAGUUCUACUGUUGCAGAAGUUGAUCCAGAAAUACGCAUCGACCUGAUAGACAUUUCAGAAGUUAGGCUAAAGGUGUCACUGGAAACAGCACCAUCUGAGAGACCUCAUGGGGUUCUAGGAGUAUGGAGCCCAAUACUAUCAGCAGUUGGAAAUGCAUUCAAGAUUCAGGUGCAUCUGAGGAGGGUAAUGCACAAAGACAGAUUCAUGCGGAGAAGUUCUAUUGUCUCUGCCAUUGGUAACCGUGUUUGGAGAGACUUGAUCCAUAAUCCUCUACAUCUGUUAUUUUCGGUUGAUGUUCUUGGUAUGACAAGUUCAACUUUGGCUUCUCUUAGUAAAGGGUUUGCUGAGCUCUCAACUGAUGGGCAGUUUACGCACCUACGGUCAAAACAGGUAUUUUCAAGGAGAAUUACGGGGGUGGGUGAUGGAAUCAUUCAAGGCACAGAAGCAUUUGUGCAAGGUGUAGCUUUCGGGGUAUCUGGGGUAGUGAAAAAGCCAGUUGAGAGUGCAAGACAGAAUGGUCUGUCAGGACUUGUUCACGGGCUUGGACGUGCAUUCCUGGGUGUUAUUGUGCAACCAGUGAGUGGAGCGUUGGACUUUUUCUCAUUGACUGUCGAUGGAAUUGGAGCAAGUUGUUCGAAAUGCCUAGAGGUCUUCAAUAGCAAGACCACAUUCCAGAGAAUUAGAAGCCCCCGAGCAAUCCGUGCCAAUGGUAUACUUAGAGAGUAUUCUGAGAGAGAAGCAGUUGGGCAGAUGAUUUUAUACCUCGCAGAAGCACAUCGGCACUUUGGUUGUACUGAAUUAUUCAAGGAGCCCUCAAAGUUUGCUUGGUCUGAUUAUUAUGAAGAGCAUUUUGUUGUGCCUUACCAGCGAAUUGUUUUAGUGACCAAUAAGCGAGUGAUGUUGCUUCAGUGUUUGGCUCCAGACAAAAUGGACAAGAAACCGUGCAAGAUUAUGUGGGAUGUGCCUUGGGAAGAGCUUAUGGCUGUGGAGCUGGCUAAAGCAGGCCACAAUCAGCCAUCUCACUUGAUCCUCCACCUGAAAAGUUUCAGGAGAUCGGAGAAUUUUGUUCGGGUCAUAAAGUGCAAUGUUGAAGAAGAACCAGAGGGAAGGGAACCCCAAGUUGUUAGGAUCUGUUCUACAGUAUGUAAGAUGUGGAAAGCAUACCAGUCUGCCUUGAAAAGCCUAAUGUUGAAGGUUCCAUCAAGUCAGCGACAUGUGUAUUUUGCCUGGUCUGAAGCCGAUGGGAGAGAAAAACGUACUCUGAACAAAGCAGUGACUAGGCUGAGAGAGCUCCCAUCAUACAGUUCUGCAUCAGAUGGUAGAAGGUUUGUUAAACACAGCAUCAACUUUUCAAAAAUUUGGAGCAGUGAACAGGAAUCCAGAGGUCGAUGCACAUUGUGCAAAAAGCAGGUUUCGGAAGCUGCUGGAUUAUGUAGCAUUUGGAGACCCAUUUGUCCUGACGGGUAUGUCUCUGUUGGAGAUAUUGCUCACAUUGGCAGCCAUCCUCCAAACGUUGCUGCAGUUUACCGUAAAAUUGACAGGUUGUUUGCACUUCCUGUUGGAUACGACCUGGUAUGGAGAAAUUGCUUGGAUGACUAUGCAACACCAGUAUCAAUAUGGCAUCCUAGAGCUCCAGAAGGAUUUGUAUCUCUGGGAUGCGUUGCUGUGGCUGGUUUUGUUGAGCCAGAACCAGAUCUGGUUCACUGUGUGGCUAUAUCACUUGCCGAGGAGACAGAAUUUGAAGAGCAAAAGGUUUGGUCAGCUCCAGAUUCUUAUCCAUGGGCAUGUCAUAUUUAUCAAGUCCACAGUGAAGCUCUUCACUUCGUGGCAUUAAGACAAAGCAAGGAAGAAUCUGACUGGAAACCUUUGAGGAUUCUUGAUGAUCCUCAGGCCCUACUGCAGUCAUUGAAAGAGAACUAGCAUAUGAGAUUCUAAAGACCUUUCUCCAUUUUUUCCGGGUUAAGGGAGGGCUUUAAUAUGUUGAAUACUAUUGUUGUAUAGUAGUGUGUAGGAUGUCCCUCAUCACAGUUUUGGAUGCAAUGCAUCAAAUACACAGGCAUAGGAACUUGUAUAUGAUAUUUACAAGUGAUCUCAAAAUUAAGUUCCAUCUUCCAAAGUGUUCAUGUACACUUGAACGAAUGUGCAUCACUAGUUAAUGGGAUCAAAAUGGAAAGAAUUCCAGUAAACUGCUUUGGGCGUGUUUGCCUUUUCUGAAUGAUUGUUUUCUUAACUAUGUUCAAACUUCAGAGUGCAGUGAUGUUUCUUUUGUUCC